GCACUAGACAGGAAAAGAGCCCUCAGCAGGGAACCAAAUCAGCUGUCUCCUUGAUGGCUUGGAUAUCCCAGCCUCCAGAAUUGCUGGUGAAAAAGCCUGGGGCAGUUUGAGUCAUGGAUCUCCCAUUUUGAUUCCUGUUUUGGUGGAAAUACAAAGUAACCUAAGGCAGAUUAACCUAGGUUCUAUAAAUGAGAUUUAGAGGAUCUGCAGCCCUCUGGAAUGCUGUUAUGAAGAAUCCAGAAAUAGAAAUACUGAGUCCAUCACAAGUACCAUAUGCAAUUUCAUCUCCACAUCUUCAUUUGGACUUGAAACUCACCAGGAGCACCUUUCUGUUUCCCCUCUACCAAUUCAGGAAGAAGAAAAAGAAGAAGACGGAC